rnacentral:tRNA from 1 species
GGGCGGGUAGCUCAGUUGGUAGAGCAGCGGUCUUACACACCGCUUGUCGCAGGUUCGAGCCCUGUCCCGCCCA